ensembl:lncRNA
GAGUUUAGUAAUGCUCGAUCUAUUCAGCUAUGUGAAGAAGAGGCGGAGCAUUAACACCAUUCACAUAAAAGUAACAUUUAACUUUGGUGACACCUUGAGCAAGAGCUCACACCUCUCACAUCAGUUCUCGGUGCAGUUUGACAAGGACCAGCCAGUUUAAUGAGGUUGUAGAGAAGUUCGUGGUUGAUAAAAGUUGUGGAUAAAAUCAUCAGAAUCCUAAAUAACAUGGCACAUCUUUCUUUUAAAACUGUAUGUAAAGGCACAGCUCUUCUGUUCUUUGUCAUUGUUCUGGGGUUGAAUGCACAGACUCAUACAGAUAUCACAUCAGUCCCUGUCACUUCAAGUAUUUCUUCAGAUGAGUCUCACACAUCUCCUCAAACACCUCCUACAACAGCCCCUGCCAUUACAAGCUCUGGAUCUCAAAUAACAGCCACUGCCACUACAAGCUCUCCUUUAAACGAAUCUCAAACGUCAGUUCCUGCAAGUGAGUUUUUUUUUUUUUUUUCAUGGAAAAUUGAGUAAACGUGUAAUAUGAUAAAAUAAUUAAUAUGAAAAUUACUAUUUUAUUCAUAUUUAUCAUAAAUGUGGUAUAUUGUAAUAAUAAUUGUGAUUAUUUCAUGUCAAAAUAAAAGUAUCAAACAUCAGUUUCUACCA